UGCCGGUGACAAACCGGAGGAAGUGGGGAUGACGUCAAGUCCUCAUGGCCCUUAUGGGUAGGGCUUCACACGUCAUACAAUGGCUGGUACAAAGGGUUGCCAACCGCGAGGGGAGCUAAUCCCACAAAGCCAGUCGUAGUCCGGAUCGUAGUCUGCAACUCGACUACGUGAAGUCGGAAUCGCUAGUAAUCGUGGAUCAGAAUGUCACGGUGAAUACGUUCCCGGGUCUU
rnacentral:rRNA from 1 species